rnacentral:misc_RNA from 1 species
AUGUUAACUACACCAGCGGCCCCCUGGGAAAUCAAGCUUCUCUUCCAUAUUUUGUAUCAUAACAAUAUAUUUUGGAUUAAUGCUUUGGUAAAUUAUUGUGUCAACUGAGAACUGCUUUGGUAAGGGACAAAAACUGGAGCACAUCUAUAUAUACACACAUGCAAAACAAGGAUAUUGUCUUUCAUCUUCAUGAUUUCACUCUAACCAUAAGCAUUAGAUGGACAUUUCUCUUGAAUAUCGUUCUCAACUCUUCAUUUGCCUCGAUACCUAUUCUCCCUAUUUUGGAACCAUUCUUUCCUACGAG